ACAGUGGACGCGAGCAUCUGUGGCCAAGUUUUUAAGGGCGCACGGUGGAUGCCUUGGCACCAGGAACCGAUGAAGGACGUGGGAGGCCGCGAUAGUCCCCGGGGAGUCGUCAACCAGGCUUUGAUCCGGGGGUUUCCGAAUGGGGAAACCCGGCAGUCGUCAUGGGCUGUCACCUACUGCUGAACACAUAGGCAGUGUGGAGGGAACGCGGGGAAGUGAAACAUCUCAGUACCCGCAGGAAGAGAAAACAACCGUGAUUCCGGGAGUAGUGGCGAGCGAAACUGGAUGAGGCCAAACCGUAUGUGUGUGAGACCCGGCAGGGGUUGCGCAUGCGGGGUUGUGGGAUUUCUCUUGAUCAAUCUGCCGGUUGGUCGGCGAGUCAGAAACCGUAUGGAUAGGCGAAGGGCAUGCGAAAGGCCCGGCGUAGAGGGUAAGACCCCCGUAGUCGAAAUCUGUACGGCUCGUUUGAGAAACACCCAAGUAGCACGGGGCCCGAGAAAUCCCGUGUGAAUCUGGCGGGACCACCCGCUAAGCCUAAAUAUUCCCUGGUGACCGAUAGCGGAUAGUACCGUGAGGGAAUGGUGAAAAGUACCCCGGGAGGGGAGUGAAAUAGUACCUGAAACCGUGUGCCUACAAGCCGUGGGAGCGUCGGAAUGAGGACUUGUCCUUGUUCUCGUGACUGCGUGCCUUUUGAAGAAUGAGCCUGCGAGUUUGCGGUGUGUUGCGAGGUUAACCCGGGUGGGGUAGCCGUAGCGAAAGCGAGUCCGAAUAGGGCGAUUCAGUAGCGCGCUCAAGACCCGAAGCGGAGUGAUCUAGCCAUGGGCAGGCUGAAGCGCGGGUAAGACCGUGUGGAGGGCCGAACCCACCAGGGUUGAAAACCUGGGGGAUGACCUGUGGUUAGGGGUGAAAGGCCAAUCAAACUCCGUGAUAGCUGGUUCUCCCCGAAAUGCAUUUAGGUGCAGCGUCGUGUGUUUCUUGCCGGAGGUAGAGCACUGGAUAGGCGAUGGGCCCUACCGGGUUACUGACCUUAGCCAAACUCCGAAUGCCGGUAAGUGAGAGCGCGGCAGUGAGACUGUGGGGGAUAAGCUCCAUGGUCGAGAGGGAAACAGCCCAGAGCAUCGACUAAGGCCCCUAAGCGUACGCUAAGUGGGAAAGGAUGUGGAGUCGCAGAGACAACCAGGAGGUUGGCUUAGAAGCAGCCACCCUUGAAAGAGUGCGUAAUAGCUCACUGGUCUAGUGAUUCCGCGCCGACAAUGUAGCGGGGCUCAAGCGUACCGCCGAAGUCGUGUCAUUGCAGUACAUACUCCUAACGGGGACUGUGAUGGGUAGGGGAGCGUCGUGUGCCGGGUGAAGCAGCCGCGGAAGCGAGUUGUGGACGGUUCACGAGUGAGAAUGCAGGCAUGAGUAGCGAUUCACACGUGGGAAACGUGUGCGCCGAUUGACUAAGGGUUCCUGGGUCAAGCUGAUCUGCCCAGGGUAAGUCGGGACCUAAGGCGAGGCCGACAGGCGUAGUCGAUGGAUAACCGGUUGAUAUUCCGGUACCCGCUGUGAAGCGUCAAACAUUGAAUCCAGUGAUGCUAAGCCCGUGAAGCCGCCCUGAUCUCUUCGGAGUUGAGGGGAGUGGUGGAGCCGGUGGCCCGAGCUGGUAGUAGGUGAGUGAUGGGGUGACGCAGGAAGGUAGUCCAUCCCGGGCGGUGGUUGUCCCGGGGUAAGGGUGUAGG
rnacentral:rRNA from 1 species